rnacentral:lncRNA from 1 species
AGCCAGAAGAACAAGCUGCAACUAGCGCUGGUGGCUCAGGGUCAGUAGCUGAUGCUGCACCAAGUGCGCAGACCUCUUCAACACCUGGGGUAUCAAAUGAUAGUUACCGCAACUACGGCGUUCUAGCUGGACUUGUUACUGGUGUUGGUGCUUUGGGUUGGUACAUGCUGUCAAAGGACAAGAAGACUGAAGAAGUACAGGAUUGAAGUAUUUCUUAAUAGGCAACGACUUGAAAAAAAUAAAGCAAACUCAUGUUUGGAAAACAGUAGCCUCGUCUCUUUUCCUUUUGUAUGGUUUUCCACCGGCUGGAUGUACAAAAUCUCUAGAGCAGAUGUAAAUUUUACAACUGCUGACUGGAUGAUGUUCUAUGUUUGUUGCUUUGGUUGCAAUUAUCACACAUCGGUUUAGAAAAGAAUUCUCUUGUUGAUAUGUCACCUUAAGAUGGAAAAUCUUAUUUUGUGUCUCAUCCAAUUGAUACUAGUUGUAUGAGGUUCCUUUUUGUCAAACACAUUUGUGGACCCAAAUUUUUGUGGAUCCAGAAGUGUAAGUUUGGGGUCUACAAAUUUAUAAGACAAAAAGAAGUCUCCUAGUCCACAAAUUUACAAGACAAAAAGAAGCCUCCUACAACUAAUGUAAGUUUGUAUGAGACACAAAAUAAAACUUCUCCCUUAAGAUGUAUUACCCCUCUUUACUACCACUGAAAGAAUGCGGUUCGAUAGCCUUCCCCAUCCAUCCCAAAGGUGACAGUUCCUUUUUUCUGUUACUUGCUUCUCACAGUUAUGCAUGUGAUUGGAUAUCUCAAUUUUCCUGACUCUAGUAUCUGUUGUCGUAUUUACCGUUUCUAUAUACAAAAUAUAAAGGAUUCCUAUCUGUGUCUAAAGAGUGCGUUCUGAUACAGGUGAGAUAACUGUUAUUCGUACAGUAAUUCAUAACAUACAAUCAGAUGGCAUAAUGCUCUUUGAUCUUGCAUCGAUUCUGAUAAAUAUCUUUCUUCUUGAUAGGCGUUUUUGGCUACAAUCUUUGUAGAUUUUUUCUGGUAUGGUAUCUUAAAGGAUUGAUGCUUAGCGUUUCCUUUCUUGCAACUUACAUGGAGAUUGGAGACUAGCAUUCAUUGUAAUCUUUGGUCUGAUUACAAUACCUGUCUAUGAUGUUGACUUUUGCGGA